rnacentral:rRNA from 1 species
GUUGAACGCUGGCGGCAUGCCUUACACAUGCAAGUCGAACGGCAGCACGGGAGCAAUCCUGGUGGCGAGUGGCGAACGGGUGAGUAAUAUAUCGGAACGUGCCCAGUAGUGGGGGAUAACUGCUCGAAAGAGCAGCUAAUACCGCAUACGACCUGAGGGUGAAAGGGGGGGAUCGCAAGACCUCUCGCUAUUGGAGCGGCCGAUAUCAGAUUAGCUAGUUGGUGGGUAAAGGCCUACCAAGGCAACGAUCUGUAGUUGGUCUGAGAGGACGACCAGCCACACUGGGACUGAGACACGGGCCAGACUCCUACGGGAGGCAGCAGUGGGGAAUUUUGGACAAUGGGCGCAAGCCUGAUCCAGCAAUGCCGCGUGCAGGAAGAAGGCCUUCGGGUUGUAAACUGCUUUUGUCAGGGAAGAAAUCCUCUAGGUUAAUACCCUUGGGGGGAUGACGGUACCUGAAGAAUAAGCACCGGCUAACUACGUGCCAGCCGCCGCCGUAAGAC